UCCAGACUCCUACGGGAGGCAGCAGUGAGGAAUAUUGGUCAAUGGGCGCGAGCCUGAACCAGCCAAGUCGCGUGAGGGAUGACGGUCCUACGGAUUGUAAACCUCUUUUGCCGGGGAGCAAAAAGCGGUACGUGUACCGCAUCGAGAGUACCCGGAGAAAAAGCAUCGGCUAACUCCGUGCCAGCAGCCGCGGUAAUACGGAGGAUGCGAGCGUUAUCCGGAUUUAUUGGGUUUAAAGGGUGCGCAGGCGGAGUGUUAAGUCAGCGGUAAAAUUGCGGGGCUCAACCCCGCCGAGCCGUUGAAACUGUGUCCCUUGAGUGCGCGAAGGGUAGGCGGAAUGCGUGGUGUAGCGGUGAAAUGCAUAGAUAUCACGCAGAACUCCGAUCGCGAAGGCAGCCUACCGGCGCGCAACUGACGCUCAUGCACGAAAGCGUGGGUAUCGAACAGGAUUAGAUACCCCUGUAC
rnacentral:rRNA from 1 species